rnacentral:rRNA from 1 species
UACAGAGGUCCCGAGCGUUGUUCGGAUUCACUGGGCGUAAAGGGUGCGUAGGCGGUUCUGAAAGUCUGAUGUGAAAUCUCCAGGCCCAACCUGGAAACGGCAUUAGAAACUACAGGGCUAGAGGCUUGGAGGGGGAACUGGAAUGCUCGGUGUAGCAGUGAAAUGCGUAGAGAUCGAGCGGAACACCAGUGGCGAAGGCGAGUUCCUGGACAAGUCCUGACGCUGAGGCACGAAAGCGUGGGGAGCAAACAGG